UACGGAGGGUGCAAGCGUUAUCCGGAUUUACUGGGUUUAAAGGGUGCGUAGGUGGGUCUGUAAGUCAGUGGUGAAAUCUCCGAGCUUAACUCGGAAACUGCCAUUGAUACUAUAGGUCUUGAAUAUCCUGGAGGUGAGCGGAAUAUGUCAUGUAGCGGUGAAAUGCUUAGAUAUGACAUAGAACACCCAUUGCGAAGGCAGCUCACUACGGGAUUAUUGACACUGAGGCACGAAAGCCAGGGGAGCGAACGGG
rnacentral:rRNA from 1 species